AGUGAACGCUGGCGGUAGGCCUAACACAUGCAAGUCGAACGGCAGCACAGUAAGAGCUUGCUCUUACGGGUGGCGAGUGGCGGACGAGUGAGGAAUACAUCGGAAUCUACUUUUUCGUGGGGGAUAACGUAGGGAAACUUACGCUAAUACCGCAUACGACCUACGGGUGAAAGCAGGGGAUCUUCGGACCUUGCGCGAUUGAAUGAGCCGAUGUCGGAUUAGCUAGUUGGCGGGGUAAAGGCCCACCAAGGCGACGAUCCGUAGCUGGUCUGAGAGGAUGAUCAGCCACACUGGAACUGAGACACGGUCCAGACUCCUACGGGAGGCAGCAGUGGGGAAUAUUGGACAAUGGGUGCAAGCCUGAUCCAGCCAUACCGCGUGGGUGAAGAAGGCCUUCGGGUUGUAAAGCCCUUUUGUUGGGAAAGAAAAGCAGCAGGUUAAUACCCCGCUGUUCUGACGGUACCCAAAGAAUAAGCACCGGCUAACUUCGUG
rnacentral:rRNA from 1 species